rnacentral:rRNA from 1 species
UACGUAGGUGGCGAGCGUUGUCCGGAUUUACUGGGCGUAAAGGGCGUGCAGGCGGUUUGUUAAGUGCAGGGUGAAAGCUCCCGGCUCAACUGGGAGAGGUCCUUGCAUACUGGCGAACUCGAGGGAGGCAGAGGAAAGUGGAAUUCCCGGUGUAGUGGUGAUAUGCGUAGAUAUCAGGAGGAACACCGGUGGCGAAGGCGGGUCUCUGGGCCGAUACUGACGCUGAGGAGCGAAAGCGUGGGGAGCGAACAGG